ensembl:lncRNA
CUCACCUGUAGGCCCCCAGAGGAGAGAAGAACCAUAUACCUGUGGCCCCUGAGGAGAGAGGAAACAUCUACCUGUGGCCCCUGAAGAGAGAAGAACCAUAUACCUGUGGCCCCUGAAGAGAGAGGAACCAUCUACCUGUGGCCCCUGAGGAGAGAAGAACCAUAUACCUGUGGCCCCUGAAGAGAGAGGAAACAUCUACCUGUGGCCCCUGAAGAGAGAGGAAACAUCUACCUGUGGCCCCUGAAGAGAGAGGAAACAUCUACCUGUGGCCCCUGAAGAGAGAGGAAACAUCUACCUGUGGCCCCUGAAGAGAGAGGAACCAUCUACCUGUGGACCCUGAGGUGAUCAGUGCAGGUUCUGCUCUGCUCUAAGUGUGUCUUUAGAGGCUCCUGGUGCCCUCACAGGUCGGGACCCUGACCGGUCCCUCCGGCGGCCUGUUGGCUCCACUCCGGUCCGGCCGUUGUCUGGAGCAUGACCCCUGGUUGAGCCUGAAGGACGCCACGCUGCAACCGAGCCCAGACCGGCCGUACCACGGUGCCAGAGGCCAUGUUCCUCCCCCAAUGGAUGCUCCUGCUGGCGGCGGCGGUGGCCAGAGGCUCCGCCCAGACCUCCGUCUUCUGCACCGACCCCACGACGACAGGCGAGCCAGGAGGCCUCCUCAUUG